AUUGAACGCUGGCGGCAUGCUUUACACAUGCAAGUCGAACGGCAGCGCGGGCUUCGGCCUGGCGGCGAGUGGCGAACGGGUGAGUAAUGCAUCGGAACGUGCCCAGUAGUGGGGGAUAGCCCGGCGAAAGCCGGAUUAAUACCGCAUACGACCUGAGGGUGAACGCGGGGGACCGAAAGGCCUCGCGCUAUUGGAGCGGCCGAUGUCGGAUUAGCUAGUUGGUGGGGUAAAGGCUUACCAAGGCGACGAUCCGUAGCUGGUCUGAGAGGACGACCAGCCACACUGGGACUGAGACACGGCCCAGACUCCUACGGGAGGCAGCAGUGGGGAAUUUUGGACAAAGGGGGCAACCCUGAUCCAGCCAUGCCGCGUGCGGGAAGAAGGCCUUCGGGUUGUAAACCGCUUUUGUUCGGGAAGAAAUCCUCUGGGCUAAUACCCCGGGGGGAUGACGGUACCGGAAGAAUAAGCACCGGCUAACUACGUG
rnacentral:rRNA from 1 species